rnacentral:rRNA from 1 species
AGAGUUUGAUCCUGGCUCAGGAUGAACGCUAGCGACAGGCUUAACACAUGCAAGUCGAGGGGCAGCACGGUGUAGCAAUACACUGGUGGCGACCGGCGCACGGGUGAGUCACACGUGUGCAACCAACCCCGUACCGGGAGAUAACCCGCGGAAACGUGGACUAACAUCCCAUAACACUCUUCCAUCGCAUGAUGGGGGAUUUAAAACCCCGGUGGUACGGGACGGGCACGCGCGACAUUAGGUAGUUGGCGGGGUAACGGCCCACCAAGCCGACGAUGUCCAGGGGUUCUGAGAGGAAGGUCCCCCACACUGGAACUGAGACACGGUCCAGACUCCUACGGGAGGCAGCAGUGAGGAAUAUUGGUCAAUGGGCGAGAGCCUGAACCAGCCAAGUCGCGUGAGGGAAGAAUGGUCUAUGGCCUGUAAACCUCUUUUGUCAGGGAAGAAUAAGGAUGACGAGUCAUUCGAUGCCAGUACUUGACGAAUAAGCAUCGGCUAACUCCGUGCCAGCAGCCGCGGUAAUACGGGGGAUGCGAGCGUUAUCCGGAUUUAUUGGGUUUAAAGGGCGCGUAGGCGGGACGCCAAGUCAGCGGUAAAAGACUGCAGCUAAACUGUAGCACGCCGUUGAAACUGGCGCCCUGGAGACGAGACGAGGGAGGCGGAACAAGUGAAGUAGCGGUGAAAUGCAUAGAUAUCACUUGGAACCCCGAUAGCGAAGGCAGCUUCCCAGCCUUUAUCUGACGCUGAUGCGCGAGAGCGUGGGUAGCGAACAGGAUUAGAUACCCUGGUAGUCCACGCCGUAAACGAUGCUCACUGGAUCUGGGCGAUACACCGUCCGGGUUCAAGCGAAAGUAUUAAGUGAGCCACCUGGGGAGUACGUCGGCAACGAUGAAACUCAAAGGAAUUGACGGGGGCCCGCACAAGCGGAGGAACAUGUG